GCCAAGUCUUAAUUCUCACGCCAUUGUCGGUGUCGUAUAUUGUGCAAUUCUUCACAUAAAUUCCAGACACAGGUUCUUCCUUCUCGUACUUUCCUAAACUUCCAAUACUAAUGCCAUGCCCGUGUCCGCACCUUACGUUUGUGAUUCGUACUUGCCUGCUCCCCCGGCCAAUGGAGAUGCAAUCAUCACCGGUCAUAAUGUUUGAAUCAAUAAUGUUGAUCUCCUCCGACCGUCCAAUGUGAAUUCCAUCCGUGUUGGGACUAUGCCCCGGCGCUUUCACCGAAAAUCGCUGGAAGGUAAGGUUUUUGCUGCCGAGGAGAUUGACGUGGAACUGCUUGCUAUCUAUGGAUGUCACGUCCUCGACUAUGCUGUUGGUGACGAAGUCAAACCUUAGGUUCUGAUACAGUUUUGAUAGAACAGUUACGCAGAGAAAACGUAGUUAGUAUUACUGCCAUGAACGGGCCUAUGAAUGACCGUUAGUAAAGUAGCGUUCGGAUUUUCUUACAACUGGAAGUGCUUUCUUGCAUCCGCCGCCACAGCUCUCCCGCUGCCAAGCAAUUUCUCCUUGUCCGUCGAAGGCCCCACCACCGGAUACCGUUAAUCGGUCCAGGUAUCUCAAUGUAACCCAGCUAUUCUUGCGGUGCUGGCUAGCUUUUGCUGGCGCCACCAACGUUCCUUCCACUUGAAGAUGCAUGGCACCCUUGCAAGGGCCUAGCAAAUCCACCACGCCUAAUGAGUACUUCCCUUUUGGUAUCACGACUUUGCCGGAACCCGCUGCUCCACAAGCCCCCUUCCACGCACUCAGUAAAGCCUAAAAACGAAAACGGCAAUGAAAGACCUGACAGCAAUAAUCUAGGAAAUACCGUCGCGAUAUCGAGAACCGAGUUUACUUUCAUACCUUAGUGAUAUCCGACCCCUCCUUCGCACCAUAUUUUGUGACAUCAAAGGUAUUGGGCUGAGCUCCGCUGGGAAAGGCGAACAGUAACACCAAAUAUGCUGCGCACACAUGUACCUUGGAACCCAUAUCUCUCUUUUCAAGGCGCUUCCUCUCCUUCGAUAUCUACAGCCUAUAUUGAUUUCUAAAUGUUUGUGCAUUUCUCCUCCUCUGUAAGGCCUUUUAUAUUUCAGGCGGCUCGUUUAAUUUACUCAAGGUUUAUUACAGGCUGUAGCAUUUUCAUACAUCCCGUUUUCUGUUUUUCCUUUUUGUUUUGCGUUAAAUGUUUUGAGCUUAAAAAAAAAAAGGCCUACGUACGCUAACCUGCAACUAAAAACUACAACUUCCGCAUUUCUCUCUAACAUAUUCUUUUAUAUUGGAACCCUGUAUAACUUAUGCAACAACCUCUUCGUUCUCCCACAAUAUUCUGGACGUAUUGGACGCGAAACGAGCCCGGAGACCGCACCCGCAAUUCAUUUCCUCACGCGUGCAUGUAGGACAAAAUUUUGACAAGUACAGUGCAACAUGAAAAGAGGAAAA